rnacentral:misc_RNA from 1 species
ACCCCCAAAAUUUGACAUUUAAAAACAAACAUGAGUCCCAGCGUUAAAGGGAUUCGAUGACUCGAAAACGGACAAAUACUACUAAAAUGGACAAUUCUAAUAUAAACCAUGGACACGUGGAUAAUGAAAAAGUCAGUAUACGAAAGGAACAUGAAGUAAUUUAUAGUCAUCGUAAAGGACUGUUCAAUGGAAGAGCUAUUCUUUUUUUACUACUUUGGUAUUUGUUUAGUGGAUGUACUUUAUUUUUGAAUAAGUAUAUUUUAACGUAUUUAAAUGGAAAUCCUACAGUAUUAGGGGCAUCUCAAAUGUUGACAACAGCAAGUUGUGGAUUUAUACAAAUGUAUUUCCCUUGUGGGAUGUACAAACCUAAUCAAAGAUUAAAUAAACCACCUGGUUUUUAUCGUCAUAUGAUAUUAGUUGGUUGUACCAGGUAAUUUUUUUUAUUAUGAUAAAACCUUGAUAUAAUAGACAA